rnacentral:rRNA from 1 species
GUAGGAGGCGAGCGUUAUCCGGAUUUACUGGGCGUAAAGCGCACGCAGGUGGCUUCGUUAGUCGGAUGUGAAAGCUCCUGGCUUAACUGGGAGAGGCCAUUCGAUACUGCGGGGCUUGAGGUUGGGAGAGGGGUGUGGAAUUCCCGGUGUAGUGGUGGAAUGCGUAGAUAUCGGGAGGAACACCAGUGGCGAAGGCGGCACCCUGGCCCACACCUGACGCUGAGGUGCGAAAGCGUGGGUAGCAAACAGGAUUAGAUACCCUGGUAGUCCACGCUGUAAACCAUGUCAACUAGGUGUUGGUAGUGUUACACUAUCAGUGCCGUAGCUAACGCGUUAAGUUGACCGCCUGGGGACUACGGCCGCAAGGCUA